GCUGGGUGUGGUGGUGUGCACCUGUAAUCCCAGCUACUCAGGAGGCUGAGGCAGGAGAAUCACUUGAACCCGGGUGGCAGAGGUUGCAGUGAGCUGAGACUGCACCACUGCACUCCAGCCUGGGCAACAGAGUGAGACCCUGUCUCAA
rnacentral:SRP_RNA from 1 species